UACGGGGGAUCCGAGCGUUAUCCGGAUUUACUGGGUGUAAAGGGAGCGUAGACGGCGAUGCAAGUCUGAAGUGAAAGGCGGGGGCCCAACCCCCGGACUGCUUUGGAAACUGUAUGGCUGGAGUGCAGGAGAGGUAAGCGGAAUUCCUAGUGUAGCGGUGAAAUGCGUAGAUAUUAGGAGGAACACCAGUGGCGAAGGCGGCUUACUGGACUGUAACUGACGUUGAGGCGCGAAAGCGUGGGGAGCAAACAGG
rnacentral:rRNA from 1 species